UACGAAGGGUGCAAGCGUUACUCGGAAUUACUGGGCGUAAAGGGUGCGUAGGUGGUUUGUUAAGUCUGCUGUGAAAUCCCCGGGCUCAACCUGGGAAUGGCAGUGGAUACUGGCAAGCUAGAGUGCGGUAGAGGGUAGUGGAAUUCCCGGUGUAGCAGUGAAAUGCGUAGAGAUCGGGAGGAACACCAGCGGCGAAGGCGGCGCUCUGGGCCGGUACUGACACUGAGGAGCGAAAGCGUGGGUAGCAAACAGG
rnacentral:rRNA from 1 species